CCCGCUGCCUGGAAUGCCGGUGCCUCCUUGUCCUUCAACGCCCAGCUCAGCUCAGUCAUGGCUCCACUAAGCCACGUCAGGGCCUGCUGUGGCGCUGAAUCUAGAGGCAUGCUUGGUGAACAUCCCCUGAUGAAGAUGUGGGCGUGUCCCUUCUUACAGAGCACACCUGGGAGAAAGCAGGAACUGGCGGGAGCGUGCCAGCCCCGCACUGACGGCCGUCGUUUCAUCUUUUUCUGAUCCGAGAGUACCAUAGAACAGUUACCUUAGUUAAAUUUCUAUCAGUGGUUCUCAACCUGGCUGGAUUUGGCCCUCAGGGGGCAUUUGGCAAUGUCUGGAGACUUUCGCUGUUGCCGUCACUGGGGGAAGGAGUAUUAACGGUGGGUAGAGGCCAGGGAUGCUGCUGAGUGUCCUACAGUGCACGGGGCGGUCCCCCGCAGCAGGGAAUUAUCAGGCCCCAAAUGUCGGUAGUGCUGAGGUUGGGAAACCCUGAGUCACACUUUGACAGGUUCUCAGGCUGAUGCUGGGACUUGAUUUGCUUACGUGCCCCUAUCCACUACGGGAGGCACAAACGGAAGAUCCGAGGAACGUUCCCUAGCUCCCAAGGAGCCAGGACCGGAACAUGGACAGAAGCAUGCACGGCCUUGUAUGCUGUGUCUGCCUGGGAGGGCAGCUCUGUGGCAGAAGGCUGCUCACCUGGCCACAGGAAGGACUGGGGAAGCCCACACUGCUCCAGCUCACAUCCUCACGGGACCUGAAGGCUGGAGAGGGAAUUCCAGGAGUCCAGGUACAUCCUGUCUGGUCCCAAGAUCUCUGAAGGGUUCCCGGGGGACAGUCUGUUUCCGGAAGCAGCUGUGAAGUCCUCCAGCUUCCUUAGUGAGCUGGGGAGGGGGGUGCUGCCGUGACUCUGUAAGAGGUUGACUCUUGGAAGCACGAAGAAGGCUCCAGAGACAGCUCUUGCCUUGUUUAGUUUGAUUUGAUGUUGUUUUUUUGAAUUAUUAAACACAAGUCAGUAAGAAA